UCCAUCCAUAUUUCAUGGACCUCGAAAGAAGGCGAUGCAAUUGGGCCAAGCGGACGUCCUAAGACAGCCAUUGUUCCAGUUACUGAUCCGGCCACCAGACCGAGGCGAGGAGCGUCUUUGAGAAGAGAAAACCUGCCAGUUGAUGAGUUGCCUUCGGUCUUGAGAGAAACUGAUCUCCAAUCUAUAAGCCAAGAGUACAAUCUGCGGAUCGACUCUUUUGAGCUAAUCAAAUGCCAUGGCAAUCUUCGGGCCUAUCACUUCUUUGAUGAAGGCAAUCUCAUCAUGGUAUAAGAAGAGCAGUUGAAGGCCGGACUCCGUUUUCCUUUGGACGAAUUUUACAAGGCUGUCCUAAAGUUUCACCAUGUUUCGGUAGCUCAAGUACAUCCAAACUCCUGGCAGACUCUAGUAGCCUUCAGGGGUCUCUGUCGAGCUAAGAAACUCGAGCCCAUGGCUAAAGUCUUUACCGAGCUGCACAGGCUUGCCCGAAGGAAGGAUGAUGAGUUUUGGUUCUUUCAGGCAAAGCCAAAUUGCGGGCUCUUCACCGAUCUCCCUUCUUCGCUGAAGAACUGGAAGAACCGAUUCUUUAUAUUGAGGAGCAAGAUUCCGAACGGCUUUUGUGGGUAUCCCACGGAGUUGACAACACCUGGUCGCUUCAAUUCUGAACAAGAUCACCUUAAAUAAGGAUGAAGAUGCCAUGGUGAAAGAGUUAAAGUCUCAGG
rnacentral:misc_RNA from 1 species